rnacentral:rRNA from 1 species
CUAUUCCUACGGGGCGCAGCAGUGGGGGAUAUUGCACAAUGGGGGGAAACCCUGAUGCAGCGACGCCGCGUGGGUGAAGAAGCGCCUCGGCGCGUAAAGCCCUGUCAGCAGGGAAGAAAAUGACGGUACCUGAAGAAGAAGCCCCGGCUAACUACGUGCCAGCAGCCGCGGUAAUACGUAGGGGGCAAGCGUUAUUCGGAUUUACUGGGUGUAAAGGGGGCGCAGACGGCGAUGCAAGCCAGGAGUGAAAGCCCGGGGCCCAACCCCGGGACUGCUCUUGGAACUGCGGGGCUGGAGGGCAGGAG